AUCGCUUCUCGGCCUUUUGGCUAAGAUCAAGUGCAUAAUCUGUUGUGAUGGAAUAAAAUGUUUGUCUAACAUAUAUGCUUACAGUAGUGAGAUUCAGUACUGCUGGAAAAAAAAAAGAACACAUUAUAUUUAUACAUUUUAAGUCGCU
rnacentral:snRNA from 1 species